AGAGUUUGAUCCUGGCUCAGGAUGAACGCUAGCGGCAGGCUUAACACAUGCAAGUCGAGGGGCAGCGAGGGUAGCAAUACCUGUCGGCGACCGGCGCAAGGGUGCGUAACGCGUGAGCAACAUGCCCGUAUCAGGGGGAUAAUCCAGGGAAACUUGGUCUAAUACCCCAUAGUAAUGUUUUCAGGCAUCUGGAGAUAUUUAAAGCUUAGGUGGAUACGGAUUGGCUCGCGUGACAUUAGUUAGAUGGUAGGGUAAUGGCCUACCAUGACUAUGAUGUCUAGGGGUUCUGAGAGGAAGGUCCCCCACACUGGAACUGAGACACGGUCCAGACUCCUACGGGAGGCAGCAGUGAGGAAUAUUGGACAAUGGAUGGAAAUCUGAUCCAGCCAUGCCGCGUGCAGGAAGAAUGUCCUAUGGAUUGUAAACUGCUUUUGUAUGGGAGCAAUAAGGUCUUCGUGAAGGCCGAUGAGAGUACCAUACGAAUAAGCACCGGCUAAUYUCCGUGCCAGGCAGCCGCGGUAAUACGGAGGGUGCAAGCGUUAUCCGGGAUUUAUUGGGUUUAAAGGGUGCGUAGGCGGUUAUAUAAGUCAGCGGUGAAAUUUUUCAGCUUAACUGGAAACAUGCCGUUGAUACUGUAUAGCUUGAAUAUGGUUGCUGUGAGUGGAAUGUGUAGUGUAGCGGUGAAAUGCUUAGAUAUUACACAGAAUAUCGAUUGCGAAGGCAACUCACAAAGCCAUUAUUGACGCUGAGGCACGAAAGUGUGGGGAUCAAACAGGAUUAGAUACCCUGGUAGUCCACACUGUAAACGAUGAUAACUAGCUGUCGGCGAUAGAUAGUCGGUGGCCAAGCGAAAGCGAUAAGUUAUCCACCUGGGGAGUACGACCGCAAGGUUGAAACUCAAAGGAAUUGACGGGGGCCCGCACAAGCGGAGGAACAUGUGGUUUAAUUCGAUGAUACGCGAGGAACCUUACCCGGGCUCGAACGGUGCAGUAAUAUGGUAGAGAUAUCAUAGCUAGCAAUAGACUGUAUCGAGGUGCUGCAUGGUUGUCGUCAGCUCGUGCCGUGAGGUGUCGGCUUAAGUGCCAUAACGAGCGCAACCCUUGUCGUUAGUUACCAUCAAAUAAAGUUGGGGACUCUAGCGAGACUGCCACCGUAAGGUGUGAGGAAGGGGGGGAUGACGUCAAAUCAGCACGGCCCUUACGUCCGGG
rnacentral:rRNA from 1 species